CGGAACCACAGAGACGUACGCCGGAAGACUGAGGGGGAACUUCCGGUGCCUGGAGGGGAAAGGCCAUAGAGAUUGCCCUUCGGAGGACCGACCAGUACUUCAGGGUGUCCCGGAGCGCGGGACCAUAACCGCUUACCGGUGGCAGGGCUUCCCGCUCGCAGCCCAGGCAGCCGCAGCCAUCGCCUCGGCACCAAAACCCUGCGGUUUUGAUCCCGCAACCAGCCCCAGGGACGGUGCAGCGCUCUGUGUGUGGGGGCGACAGCAGCAAGUCCGCCGGGGACCAGGAAGGCAGGUGGGGGUGCCGCCUUCUCCACCACAGAAACAUCGGGGAUUUCUGCUUCCCUGCAGGAAAAUGAGGAGGUUGGUUUCGAUAUCUUCGAAUAGGAAAGCCCCUCCGCUUCUUUCCUUGUCGUGGCUUCUUCAGGCCUGUUCUUGCCUCAGGCCGUUUCAAUAAAAAUGGGAGUUACAAAAA